GCUUAUUCCGGCAGGACUACACUAAAGUAGGAAUGAUACAAGAUUAAUAUGGCCCCUGUGCAAAGAUGACAAGCAAAUUCAUUAAACAUUCCUUAGGUGG
rnacentral:snRNA from 1 species